CCUACGGGUGGCAGCAGUGAGGAAUAUUGGUCAAUGGACGAGAGUCUGAACCAGCCAAGUAGCGUGAAGGAUGACUGCCCUAUGGGUUGUAAACUUCUUUUAUAAAGGAAUAAAACGACGCACGUGUGCCUUUUUGCAUGUACUUUAUGAAUAAGGAUCGGCUAACUCCGUGCCAGCAGCCGCGGUAAUACGGAGGAUCCGAGCGUUAUCCGGAUUUAUUGGGUUUAAAGGGAGCGUAGAUGGGUUGUUAAGUCAGUUGGGAAAGUUUGCGGCUCAACCGUAAAAUUGCAAUUGAUACUGGCAGUCUUGAGUACAGUUGAGGUAAGCGGAAUUCGUGGUGUAGCGGUGAAAUGCUUAGAUAUCACGAAGAACCCCGAUUGCGAAGGCAGCUUACUAGACUGUGACUGACACUGAGGCUCGAAAGUGUGGGUAUCAAACAGGAUUAGAUACCCUUGUAGUC
rnacentral:rRNA from 1 species